UACGUAGGGCGCAAGCGUUGUCCGGAAUCAUUGGGCGUAAAGAGCUCGUAGGCGGCCUGUUGCGUCCGCUGUGAAAUCCCGGGGCUUAACCCCGGGCGUGCAGUGGAUACGGGCUGGCUGGAGGCAGGCAGGGGAGAACGGAAUUCCCGGUGUAGCGGUGAAAUGCGCAGAUAUCGGGAGGAACACCGGUGGCGAAGGCAGUGUCCUGGGGAGUACCUGACGCUCAGGUGCGAAAGCCAGGGGAGCGAACGGG
rnacentral:rRNA from 1 species